AAGACUAAAACGCAGCUAUAAUGUCAGUGUCAGAAGCGUUCUUGUGUGUUUGUUCUCCAGGUCUCUACCACGCUCUUGUGAUCUGCUUCGGUCUUGGGGGUCAUGUUGCAUUGGAGCAGUAGUCCUGGAUACCUGGCAGAAGAAACAGAAAAUGCUUCAGAUAAAUCUGCUGAGAUCUAAUCAGGAAUUAGACCAGCCUAACAAACAAGUCAUCAAAAAAAAAAAAAGGGACU